rnacentral:rRNA from 1 species
UGGGGAAUAUUGGACAAUGGGCGCAAGCCUGAUCCCGCCAUGCCGCGUGAGUGAUGAAGGCCCUAGGGUUGUAAAGCUCUUUCACCGGUGAAGAUAAUGACGGUAACCGGAGAAGAAGCCCCGGCUAACUUCGUGCCCGCAGCCGCGGUAAUACGAAGGGGGCUAGCGUUGUUCGGAUUUACUGGGCGUAAAGCGCACGUAGGCGGACUUUUAAGUCAGGGGUGAAAUCCCGGGGCUCAACCCCGGAACUGCCUUUGAUACUGGAAGUCUUGAGUAUGGUAGAGGUGAGUGGAAUUCCGAGUGUAGAGGUGAAAUUCGUAGAUAUUCGGAGGAACACCAGUGGCGAAGGCGGCUCACUGGACCAUUACUGACGCUGAGGUGCGAAAGCGUGGGGAGCAAACAGG